UACGUAGGGGGCAAGCGUUGUCCGGAUUUAUUGGGCGUAAAGAGCGUGUAGGCGGCCAUACAGGUCCGUUGUGAAAACUGGAGGCUUAACCUCCAGACGUCGAUGGAAACCGUGUGGCUAGAGUCCGGAAGAGGAGAGUGGAAUUCCUGGCGUAGCGGUGAAAUGCGCAGAUAUCAGGAAGAACACCCGUGGCGAAGGCGGCUCUCUGGGCCGGUACUGACGCUGAGACGCGAAAGCGUGGGGAGCGAACAGG
rnacentral:rRNA from 1 species